rnacentral:tRNA from 1 species
AGUGGAGUGCCUGAGAAAAGGGUAAUUUUGAUAGAAUUAAUAAUGCAGAAAACUGUCUCCACUA